AGGUAUUAUACUACUAAAGAAGGAGAUAAAAGAAAGGAAAGGAAUGCCAAGAAGAUCUUUUAAAAGCAUGGAAUACAAAAGAGGUUCAUUGAAACCCUAAAAAAAGCAGCCGCAUCCUCUCUACCCAAACGAAAAAGAGAUGAAAAUAUCAACAUAGGCUGGUAUCUACCUACACAGAGCUUGGAAAGGUGCAGAGGAGUGAUUCAUCCAUGAGAAACUCUUCAGCUACACGUGCAAAUGUGGAAAAUCAGUGCUAAUCAAAAGUUUUAUGCACGGAUUACCAAAUAUUUGAGGAUGAGAAACUAUGUAUCUCUACACAGUUUGAAGUGCAAAGGUUACCAAAGGAUUUAAGGAUGAGAAAUUUUGAAACUCUCACAGUCUAAGUGCAAAGGUUAUGAAUU